rnacentral:hammerhead_ribozyme from 1 species
AUCCGGCUGACUAAGUCCCAAAUAGGACGAAACGCACGUCAAACUGGAU